rnacentral:tRNA from 1 species
GGGCCUGUAGCUCAGUGGUAGAGUGCUUGCCUAGGAUGCAUGAGGCUCUGGGCUCUACCCCCAGCACCUCUA